AUAUGGCUUGGUUAAACUUGACUCUGGUAUAUAUUGAUAUGGUACUUGUGUGUAUUUCUUAUAGAAAAUGUAGAAUACAAUGUAUACUGUUUUGAAGAAUGAUUGAAUUGGAAAAUUUAUAUUUGUUCUUGAAGAUCUUGGAACUGUUGUGGUUGAGGUAGUUGAGAAAUUUCCUUUGACCUUUUGUGAAAACCAUGCUUUGUGUAUACUGUAUGCAUUUGUUGUUUUAAGAAUUGAAAUAUUUUGUUUCAUAUUCUCUUUCAAGUGAUGUAUGUGAAAUAAGAUCAAUGUUCAUUUGGGUAUGAAUCAGUUGAAGGCUUGUGUUAAUUUUGGACUCGAAAAAAUAAGCAAGAAGCAACGUCGAAAGUGAGCUACUUCCGUUGAUUUUAGGUGAUAGGCAACUUGUAUAUUGAUUGUUUUAGCGCCUUGAAAUUUUAAGGAAACUUGGGUUCUUUUUAGAAAAUGAAUUUGCAGGGUGUAGAUGUAUAAAAGGGUGAAGAAAAGCAAUAGGCUACCACCAGGAAAUGCACAUAAGAUGUACGACACAAGUUCCACAAGGAAAAACAAAUUCUAGUGAGAUUUGAUGAGUCGGUCGCGUCCUUUAAUUUAAUCACUUGAGCUAAUGCUGGUGUUGUGGCGCUGAAGUGGAAGAAAUAAAAUGCUAAAGAACUUGGGGCAUGUGGUGACGAUGAACAAGGCUCCUUAGUCACAGGAGCUUGAGCGGCGUAAAUAUUUCAAGGCUAAGGUUGAUGAAAGGGUCCACUGCGCAGCUAACUUCAUGUUAUGACGUUGAGUUGUUUACCUAUAUUAUGUUUUAAGUGUGUGCCAGCCAAUCUUGAAUAGCUAAAGCUAAUUCAUUUUUACGGUUUAAAAGAAAAGCAAAUUUAGUGGGUGCUGUGGGCUAAGUAAAAAACUGAGAAUAUAUGAAUUUGAAACAUGUUGACACUUUCUUAAUCAA